UACGUAGGGGGCGAGCGUUGUCCGGAUUUAUUGGGCGUAAAGAGCGUGUAGGCGGCCAGGUAGGUCUGCUGUGAAACUCGAGGCUCAACCUCGAGACGUCGGCGGAAACCAUCUGGCUAGAGUCCGGAAGAGGAGAGUGGAAUUCCUGGUGGUAGCGGUGGAAUGCGCAGAUAUCAGGAGGAACACCAGUGGCGAAGGCGGCGCCUGGGCCAAUAUUGACGCUGAGGUGCGAAAGCGUGGGGAGCAAACAGG
rnacentral:rRNA from 1 species